rnacentral:rRNA from 1 species
AUUGAACGCUGGCGGCAUGCCUUACACAUGCAAGUCGAACGGCAGCGGACCUUCGGGUGCCGGCGAGUGGCGAACGGGUGAGUAAUAUAUCGGAACGUACCUUUCAGUGGGGGAUAACGUAGCGAAAGUUACGCUAAUACCGCAUAUUCUGUGAGCAGGAAAGCAGGGGAUCGCAAGACCUUGCGCUGAUUGAGCGGCCGAUAUCAGAUUAGCUAGUUGGUGAGGUAAAGGCUCACCAAGGCGACGAUCUGUAGCGGGUCUGAGAGGAUGAUCCGCCACACUGGAACUGAGACACGGUCCAGACUCCUACGGGAGGCAGCGAGUGGGGAAUUUUGGACAAUGGGCGCAAGCCUGAUCCAGCCAUGCCGCGUGAGUGAAGAAGGCCUCGG